rnacentral:other from 1 species
CUAAAUUGGUAGAGAACUGCUGUGUUGGUGACAGCCUUUCUCUAGUGCUCUGAUCUGACUCUCUUUCGACAUGGGGUGACUGUCGUGCUGGUGCCGUAAACCGGUCUCGUAACCGGAAACGAAUCCUCUCGAAAUCUUUCGCCCCUUCUGGUAACUCCAGGUCGACCACAGAUUGGCGCACGGCAUGGUGGUUCAACCCAAUGGGUUCA